AUUGAACGCUGGCGGCAGGCCUAACACAUGCAAGUCGAACGAGUGGCGGACGGGUGAGGAAUGUCUGGGAAACUGCCCGAUGGAGGGGGAUAACUACUGGAAACGGUAGCUAAUACCGCAUACCAUCGGAUGUGCCCAGAUGGGAUUAACUAGUAGGUGGGGUAACGGCUCACCUAGGCGACGAUUCCUAGCUGGGCUGAGAGGAGGACCAACCCAACCGGAACUGUGGAACGGUCCAGACUACUAAGGGCGGCAGCAGUGGGGAAUAUUGCACAAGGGGGGCAAGCCUGGUGCAGCCAAGCCGCGGUUGAGAAGAAGGCCUUCUGGUUGUAAAAGACUUUCAACGAGGAGGCGUUACUCGCAGAAGAAGCAUCGGCUAACUCCGUGCCAGCAGCCGCGGUAAUAC
rnacentral:rRNA from 1 species